ensembl:lncRNA
GGAGUGGACAGGGCAAAUUCAAGGAUUUUGUUGGAGGGAUCCGUUGCCAUCCUGCACCUCCAUUACUUCCUUACGUUGAAGCCCAAUGAGUGGCUUUGUGGGGAGGUUAAUGACUUCUACCUCCAACUGAAGCAGAUUGACCUUCAAGUGGAGAGGGAUGUUUUUUCUUGUGGAUCACCUGCUGGCAGGGAAUAUCCUGCAUGGGGAUAAGGUGAUGAUGCGCAAGAAUACCUUGUCAAAGGUACCUUUGUCACCUUGUCAAAGUAUGUCAAUCGCAGGACCUACUCUGCCAUUGUCCUGGACCUUACUGGUUCCCCUAAUGCGGAGCGCCAUAUGAGUGAGAAUCUAG